rfam:Camelus ferus unplaced genomic scaffold scaffold658, whole genome shotgun sequence.
GCUCACUUUGGCAGCACAUAUACUAAAAUUAGAAUGAUACAGAGAUUAGCAUGGCCCCUGCUCAAGGACAACAUGUAAAUUCAUGAAGUAUUCCAUAUUUUU